UCAAGAAGUAUAGAGGAAUGGGUUCACUAGAAGCUAUGACUAAAGGAAGUGAUCAAAGAUAUUUGGGUGACACUGCAAAACUAAAAAUUGCUCAGGGGGUUGUUGGAGCUGUUAAAGAUAACUAGAUAAGGGUUCUGUUUUGAAGUUCCUACCAUACACCAUGCAAGCUGUCAAGCAAGGGUUUUAAGAUAUCAGUGCUCACUCUCUGCAGUCUGCUCAUGACCUCCUCAGAUCCAAGGUGUUAAGGCUAGAGGUCCGGAGUGGAGCAGCGCAGGUUGAAGGUGGAAUCUAUGGUCUGGUUUCUUAUGAAAAGAAAUAUUUUUGAAGUAUGAAACCAUCCAAAAUGGUUGUAAGCCGUGGUAUAAAUUAUUGUUGUAAGUUUAAAAAAGGGCAUAAAAUGUUACUCGGGCAGUCACAAGUUGCUGCCAAUGAUGUUAUUAGAAGUCGAAACAUUGUGGAUGAUGGUGGCCACACACCAUGAUUUUAUGAGAUAAAUCCUAGUUAUUUUUAAAUUUUUCUUCA